rnacentral:rRNA from 1 species
UACAGAGGUCUCAAGCGUUGUUCGGAUUCAUUGGGCGUAAAGGGCGCGUAGGCGGCUUGGCAAGUGGAAGGUGAAAUCCCUCGGCUUAACCGAGGAACUGCCCUCCAAACUGCUUUGCUUGAGGCCGGGAGAGGUGAGUGGAAUUCCCAGUGUAGCGGUGAAAUGCGUAGAUAUUGGGAGGAACACCAGUGGCGAAGGCGGCUCACUGGACCGGUACUGACACUGAGGAGCGAAAGCGUGGGUAGCAAACAGG